rnacentral:rRNA from 2 species
AACGCUGGCGGCGUGCCUAAUACAUGCAAGUCGAACGAGUUCUCGUUGAUGAUCGGUGCUUGCACCGAGAUUCAACAUGGAACGAGUGGCGGACGGGUGAGUAACACGUGGGUAACCUGCCCUUAAGUGGGGGAUAACAUUUGGAAACAGAUGCUAAUACCGCAUAGAUCCAAGAACCGCAUGGUUCUUGGCUGAAAGAUGGCGUAAGCUAUCGCUUUUGGAUGGACCCGCGGCGUAUUAGCUAGUUGGUGAGGUAAUGGCUCACCAAGGCGAUGAUACGUAGCCGAACUGAGAGGUUGAUCGGCCACAUUGGGACUGAGACACGGCCCAAACUCCUACGGGAGGCAGCAGUAGGGAAUCUUCCACAAUGGACGCAAGUCUGAUGGAGCAACGCCGCGUGAGUGAAGAAGGCUUUCGGGUCGUAAAACUCUGUUGUUGGAGAAGAAUGGUCGGCAGAGUAACUGUUGUCGGCGUGACGGUAUCCAACCAGAAAGCCAC